GCUUCAAAUUUAUAGGGUUUUUUCCAAUUGCGAGUGUUGUCCGACAGAGGGCGAUACCUUCUUUUAGAAGAAAGCCCUGAAAUAAAGAUUAAGAAGAAGAAGAAAUAAUAGGGCAGUGCAUGUUGGUGUUUAAACGAGAAAAGUCCUGAACAAUACACGUUAUUCUCAUCAAAUAGUGAAUAUUUACUAUUUUUGGGUUGUACUGAGUUGUUUUUUUUUAAGUACAAAAUGCCAAAAUUUGCUGCAUCCCGAGGUGGAAAAUCUAGCUCAGGAAUUGACUGACCUGACCAUUGAGUCUAAGAUGCGUGAAAAAAUCUCUAAAGACAACAUCGUCCGGAAAUCAUUGGCAGAUUUUGAGAAAGAUGCUGGAAAAUCCCAUUCAAAAGCCAUUCCCUUGGCCCAGAGCUCACCAAUCAUCAGAUACAUCUUGGAGGAGCUUAAAGCCCUCCGACCGAGUUACAAUUAAUUGUACAGAGUAGAAAAUAAACUUCCAAUUUAUUCAAAUAA